CGGAGGGAGCUAGCGUUAUUCGGAAUUACUGGGCGUAAAGCGCACGUAGGCGGCUUUGUAAGUAAGAGGUGAAAGCCCAGAGCUCAACUCUGGAAUUGCCUUUUAGACUGCAUCGCUUGAAUCAUGGAGAGGUCAGUGGAAUUCCGAGUGUAGAGGUGAAAUUCGUAGAUAUUCGGAAGAACACCAGUGGCGAAGGCGGCUGACUGGACAUGUAUUGACGCUGAGGUGCGAAAGCGUGGGAGCAAACAGGAUU
rnacentral:rRNA from 1 species